AUUGAACGCUGGCGGCAGGCCUAACACAUGCAAGUCGAGCGGAGCGGCGGACGGGUUAGUAAUGCCUAGGAAUCUGCCUGGUAGUGGUGGAUAACGUCCGGAAACGGGCGCUAAUACCGCAUACUAUCAGAUGAGCCUAGGUCGUAUUAGCUAGUUGGUGGGGUAAAGGCCUACAAGGGCGACGAUCCGUAACUGGUCUGCGAGGAUGAUCAGUCACACUGGAACUGAGACACGGUCAAGACUCCUACGGGAGGAAGAGGUGGGGAAUAUUGGACAAUGGGCGAAAGCCGGAGCCAGCCAGGCCGCGGGUGGGAAGAAGGUCUUCGGAUUGUAAAGCACUUUAAGUUGGGAGGCGUUACCAACAGAAUAAGCAACGGCUAACUUCGUGCCAGCAGCCGCGGUAAUUC
rnacentral:rRNA from 1 species